UACGUAGGGGGCAAGCGUUGUCCGGAUUUAUUGGGCGUAAAGCGCGUGUAGGCGGCCAGGUAGGUCGGUUGUGAAAAUUGGAGGCUCAACCUCCAGACGUCGACCGAAACCAUCUGGCUAGAGUCCGGAAGAGGAGAAUGGAAUUCCCGGUGUAGCGGUGAAAUGCGCAGAUAUCGGGAAGAACACCCGUGGCGAAGGCGGUUCUCUGGGACGGUACUGACGCUGAGACGCGAAAGCGUGGGGAGCGAACAGG
rnacentral:rRNA from 1 species